CCGGUGAUCUAGCCAUGGGCAGGUUGAAGGUUGGGUAACACUAACUGGAGGACCGAACCGACUAAUGUUGAAAAAUUAGCGGAUGACUUGUGGCUGGGGUGAAAGGCCAAUCAAACCGGGAGAUAGCUGGUUCUCCCCGAAAGCUAUUUAGGUAGCGCCUCGUGAAUUCAUCUUCGGGGGUAGAGCACUGUUUCGGCUAGGGGUCAUCCCGACUUACCAACCCGAUGCAAACUACGAAUACCGAAGAAUGUUAUCACGGGAGACACACGGCGGGUGCUAACGUCCGUCGUGAAGAGGGAAACAACCCAGACCGCCAGCUAAGGUCCCA
rnacentral:rRNA from 1 species